rnacentral:lncRNA from 1 species
UCAACUAGACUUUAUUUGGGAGAAACUCCCAUUCGAACCCUCUGAUAUUUGGUGCACUCUACUGACUGAGCAUGGGUCAGCUGUUCCACAUCACACGGUCAACAUAGGCCAUACACACACCACAACGAGAGAUCAUCAACACAGAAAAAUAUGUUUUAGUUCUAUCUCAAUCCCAUCCUACAUCUAGCGUCUAGUUUGAAUCAUUUAUCCCUCCCAAUUUUGACUCAUUUCUACCCAACAUAUUCUAGAUUCAACACUCAACUCCCUUCAAGGCUUACUUCAGCAGUCCUAGUCUAGUAUCAUUCCCAUCAAUAAAUAUUUAAAUUAAUUAUGUGAGUCAUCUGAGAGUUUCCUUCAACCUAACUUUAUUUGGUUCACU